AUGCCUUCCCUGCUGCAGCUGGGGCCUCUGUCGUUGCCGGGCUGCCCCCUUCACUCCCCCUUCCAGUCUGGCCUUGGGGACAUGAGAGGUGGCAAUGGCACAGCAGUGACUGAGUUUGUUUUGCUGGGCUUCUCAGGUUACGGUUCCCUCCGGGGCCCUCUGUUCUGGGGGGUGCUUUUGGUCUACUUGGUCACUCUGCUGGGCAACUCGCUGAUCAUCCUCCUCACCCUGGCUGACGCUGCCCUGCACUCGCCCAUGUACUUCUUCCUGCGCCACUUCUCCGGGUUGGAGAUGCUCUACACCACGACUGUGGUCCCCAGGAUGCUGGCCGACCUCCUCUCCUCCUGCCCCACCAUCCUGCCAGCCAGCUGCUUUACCCAGCUGUAUUUCUUCUCACUGUUUGGCAUCGCUGAAUGUGGCCUGCUCACUGCCAUGGCCUAUGACCGCUAUGCUGCCAUCUGCCGGCCGCUACAUUAUAGCACCCUGAUGAACCCGGGAGCCUGUGUGUGCCUGGUGGGUGCCUGCUAUCUCAUGGGCGUCAUCACUGGCACCACUCACUCCAUCCUCAUCUUCACUUUGCCCUUCCACGGUACCAACACCAUCCACCACUUCCUGUGUGACAUCCUGCCUGUGCUGAGACUGGCCAGCGCUAGCACCUUCUGGGGUGAAGUGGGCAAUCUUGCCAUCACCAUAGCCUUUAUCCUGACACCCUUCUCACUGAUCAUAGUGUCCUAUGCCUGUAUUCUUGUCACCAUCCUUGGGGUUGCGACAUUUCAGGGACGUCGAAGAGUCUUCUCUACCUGUUCCUCCCACCUAUUUGUGGUCAUGCUCUUUUUUGGGACAGGAACCAUUGCCUACAUGAGGCUGGGGGCAGGCUCCUCCCAGGCCGAGGACCAGAUCCUCGCCCUCUUCUACACGGUUGUCACUCCCAUGUUCAACCCUUUCGUCUACACUCUGAGGAACAAGGAGGUCACAGGGGCAAUGAGGCGGCUUGUGAAGAAAUAUCUCUGGAGUCCUUGA
rnacentral:lncRNA from 1 species